CGAAUGCUCAUUCGGACCCCAUCGAAAGGCGUUGGUUGCUAUAGACAGCAGGACGGUGGCCAUGGAAGUCGGAAUCCGCUAAGGAGUGUGUAACAACUCACCUGCCGAAGCAACUAGCCCUUAAAAUGGUAUGGCGCUGAAGCAUUCUCCCGAUACUCGACCGCCGGGGCAGUAGCGGCCGCNUCCCAGAGGCGGGGUCUCGAAGCCCCGGUGAGUAAGAGGGCUGCAGUGGUGAGCGCUGAAGGGAUCCGGCGUGAGCCGGCCUGGAGCCGCCACUGGUGCAGAUCUUGGUGGUAGUAGCAAAUACUCGAGAGAGACUCCCUUGAAGACCGAUGUGGAGAAGGGUUCCAUGUGAACAUCANUUGGACAUGGGUUAGUCGCUCCUAAGCCCGAGGCUAAGGCCUGAUCCCAUGCUAGCGGC
rnacentral:rRNA from 1 species